rnacentral:rRNA from 1 species
CCAGUAGUGAUAUGCUUCUCUCUAAGAUUAAGCCAUGCAAGUGUAAGCUCACCCUAGCUUGUAAGCGGGGGACGCUGCGGACGGCUCAUUAAAUCGGUUGUCACCUACUUGGGUGAAAGCGCGCUGGAUAACUGUGGAAAACCCAGAGCUAAUACAUGGACGCUAAGGUGAAGCCGAUCCUAUAGCUGGGAGAGGGGCUCUGCCGCAUCCCCCUGGGGUGCGAGCAUCCUCCUUCUUCCCAGCACCAGGGAAAGGCAUGGUAUCACUACUCCAGGACCUUGGGCAGGGCCCUCACCUUGAGCCCCGCCUACGUGUGCUGACUCUGAGUGACUUAUCGGAUCGCACGGGCCCCGUCCCGGCGACGCACCAAUCGGGCUUCCGCCUCAUCAGCUAGUUGGCUGGGACCACGCCAGCCAAGGGAACGACGGGUAACAGAGAAUCAGGGUUCGGUUCUGGAGAGGCAGCCUGAGACACGGCUACCACUCCCAAGGGAGGCAGCAGGCGCGUAAAUUACCCACUCCAGACUCUGGGAGGUAGUGACGAGAAGUGCUGGAUGGAAGCGCGUCGCCGUGUCUGUCCAUCUGGAAUGUGCCGCACCAAAAAAAUGCCUCUAAAUGCGAGUCGAGGGCAAGUCUGGUGCCAGCAGCCGCGGUAACUCCAGCUCGACUAGCAUAUGCUAAUGCUGCUGCGGUUAAAAGGCUCGUAGUUUGCUCUGGUCUCCGGCGUCGGUCCGUAUCGUGGCAGAGCAGCGGUGCGGUCGGCGUUGGGUCACUGGGCGGGUUUUCGGCAGUCUCGCCCGGGCACGGGGUGGAAGCAACCCGGAUCCAGCGACCAAGGUCCCUCUACCCUCCGCGCCGCAGCGGGGGCUCUUCUGGGGCGUCUGGCUCCCGGGGGACCACCUUUCGGUAAGUCCCGUGCAUCACCCGCCCCCGUUACCUAGACAAAAUUAGGGUGCUCAAAGCAGGCCAAACCCACAGCCAACAUAAGGCAGCAUGGAAUAACAGAAGCGAAAGCUGACCCUCUUCUGCUGGUCCCGAGGUGCUACCCCUUCAUUCAGACUCAAGGAUGCAGAGGGACGGGCGAGGCUGGAAGUACUCCGGAGGUAGAGGUGAAAUUCAAGGAUCUCCGGAAGACUAGCAGAAGCGAAAGCGUUCAGCUAGUACGUCCCCCUUAAUCAGGAACGAAAGUUUGGGUAGCGAAGAUGAUCAGAUACCGUCUUAGUCCGGACUGUAAACGAUGCCAACAGGCUGUCGGCCGGCAAUGGACCGCCGCUAGGUCACCAUGACCCUUCUCCUGCCGUGAAACCCCGGGGCCUCCCAACGAUGGGACCCCAGGCUCCGGGCGGCGGGAGAGAGACAAUGCAGAUUGAAAUAGCAACUCGCCUUCUCUGAUUUCGGCCCGGCCGGCAGUCCCACCGGGCAACCAUGAGUCUAUGGGUUCCGGGGGUAGUAUGGUUGCAAAGCUGAAACUUAAAGGAGUUGACGGAAGGGCACCACCAGGAGUGGAGCUUGCGGCUUAAUUCGACCCAACGCGGGGAAGUUCACCCGGGCUGGACGCCGUAAGGAUUGACAGUCUCGAGACCUUUCAUGAUUCGGUGGGUGGUGGUGCAUGGCCGUUCUUAGUUCGUGGAGUAAUCUGUCUGGUUAAGUCUGCUAACGAACAGGACUCCAGCUUGCUAACUAGAUGGGCAACAAGCCGGGCUGGCUGUGCCAAGCUAUAGGCAAACUUCUUAGAGGGACGGGCGGCGUAGUGAGUCGCCAGAGGAUGGUGCAAUAACAGGUCUGUGAUGCCCUUAGACGUCCGGGGCCGCACGCGCGCUACAGUGGGAGGGGCAGCACGUCUGCCUUUAAAAUGGGACCGGGCGCGAGAGCAGCGGCCGGAAACUCGCCUAGCCCCUCCCGUACCGGGGCCCGGGCCGUGUAAUAUCGGCCCACCAACGAGGAAUUUCGAGUAAGCGCGGGUCAGCAGCUCGCGUUGAAAAAGUCCCUGCCCUUUGUACACACCGCCCGUCGCUACCACCGAGGUGAGGCCAAGUAAGGUUGCUGGAGGCCCGAUGGCGCUACCCCCCGCAGCCUCGUGACCCCCUCCAGGGGCAUUCGUCCGCCGCUCGAAAGAGGCAGGUUCAGUGUUUGCCCCUGUGGCGGGGUACGACGCCGGGCCCGUCAUUGGAUGCACGAAGGUAGGCGAACCUGGCAGCAUCUAGGAGGCACAAGUCGUAACAAGGUUGCCGUAGGUGAACCU